GGGGUAUAUUAAAUAGAACUUCUAAUUCUAUAAAGAUACAAUAGUAUCAUACCCCU
rnacentral:tRNA from 1 species